rnacentral:rRNA from 1 species
UACAUAGGGGGCGAGCGUUAUCCGGAAUUAUUGGGCGUAAAGCGUGCGUAGGCGGUUUAUUAAGUCUGAUGUAAAAUCCCACAGCUUAACUGUGGAGGGUCAUUGGAAACUGGUAAACUAGAGUACGGUAGGGAUAAGUGGAAUUCCAAGUGGAGCGGUGGAAUGCGUAGAGAUUUGGAGGAACACCAGUGGCGAAGGCGGCUUAUUGGGCCGGUACUGACGCUGAGGCACGAAAGCGUGGGGAG